rnacentral:rRNA from 1 species
UAGGGACUAUUAGAAAUGGACGCAAGUCUGAUCUAGCAACACCGCGUGUGCGAAGAAGGCCUUCGGGUUGUAAAGCACUUUUUGGAAGGAUUAGGAAGGAAUGUACUUCCAGAAUAAGUCUCGGCUAACUACGUGCCAGCAGCCGCGGUAACACGUAGGAGGCAAACGUUAUCCGGAUUUACUGGGCGUAAAGCGCGUGUAGGUGGUUCUGUAAGUAGGGCGUGAAAGCUCCUGGCUCAACUGGGAGAGGCCGUUCUAAACUGCAGAGCUAGAGGAUGGUAGAGGGAGGUGGAACUCCGGGUGUAGCGGUGGAAUGCGCAGAUAUCCGGAGGAACACCAGUGGCGAAAGCGGCCUCCUGGACCAUUCCUGACACUCAGACGCGAAAGCUAGGGUAGCAAACGG